CUUUUAUUUAUAUCAGCAACCUAAUUCCAGAAAUUACUAUAUUGCUAAUGCUUGUCCUCUUCAAUAGGUCUGAGAGCAGACAGAUCAGUACAAGUAGAUAAAGAGAGUUUUAGAGAACUGCUGCUGUCUCAGCACCAGGAUACAGAGAAAAAUCCAAUGCAGCUAAAAAAGGAGAAAAGAGGAGAUAAGGGUGGAGAAGGUAAAGCAAGAGAAGUGUGCUCAGAUGCCUGGGGUAGAAAAGAAAAAGAAGAAACCAAGGAAGUACCAACACCAGAAACUUCUAACAGGACACACAGAGGGGGCAAACUACUGAUGGAAAAAGGCAAUUUUUCAGAAUUUAUUAAAGAAAUGGAAAAAGAGACAGAGUUUCUUAAACAGAAGUUGAAAAGUCUGAUGAAAUCUGAACAAAAUCCUCAAAGAGACGGAGCAAAGGAGAACAAUCAAGAGGGAGAGGCAGUGGAAGAAGUUGAAAAAGAAGAGAAGAAACCGUAUGAGCAGCAAAAGAAGAAAGCCAGGAGUGAAGGAGCAAUUCCAAGCAAAGACUUUGCUAGGCUGAAAAAAAUCUACCUCUCCUCAGAAGGUGUUGAGAGUUUGCAUCAGGGGCUCCACACCUCAGGUGCCAAAUGCAAAGCAGGCAGCCAGAGCCAGGCAGGCCAGAGCUGCAGGGACACUGCUGAGUCCAGGGGGAAAAUCUCCUUUGGGGCUUAUGAGCCUUCUUUUGGGCAAAUCCCCCUGGCCAGGCAGGGUGGCAGAUGUGGAGUGGAAGAAAGAGCUGAGGAAGGAGGUUUUUGGGGAGGGCUGUUUGCAAGGAGACGGCCCCACGAGUUCCAGCAGCAGCAGGGUGAAGGCAGGCAAGUGAGGGGUGAGAGGCAAAUCCCAAACUCCAGGAGAGGGUUCAGCUCUCCUCGUUAA
rnacentral:lncRNA from 1 species